UAAAUUUUUAUCACAAUAUUAUUUAACUCCCUAAAAUAAAUUACAGACAGAUAUGACAAAUGUCAAAAUAGUGACACUUCAUAAUCAAAACUUAAAAGGUAAUCAACAGGCUAGAAAAAUUAUAUAGUGCAUUAAAGAAAGAAAGAAUCACAUCUUAUGUAAAGAAUUUAUUAGAAUUAUAAAGAAAAACAAAGAGCCAAAAAAUGAUACAAAUAUGUAAACAGAUAAUGCACAGAAAGAAAUACAAAGGACCAAUAUAAGUAACAUUUCUUCAAUCUCAGUAGUAAUUAGAAAAGAUAAAAACAGAGUAAUAUAUGGGUUUUGUUCAGAACAUGGACAGGACAGUUCUCAAACUGAUGACAGUGUUUGAGAAAGUGCAUCAAAAAGGUAGUCUAGUUACAUAAAAUUUGUGGGAAUUUAAGUUGUUUUUGCCUUUCUUGAGACUAAUUUGGCAAUAUCUAUGAAUCAAAAUACAUAUACUAUUAGGUCUGCCACUUCCAAUGCAAUCUAGCCUAUAAAAGUACUAAUAUACUUUUAGUACUAGUAUAAAAGAUGUAUACUAUCAGUUUCACCAUUAUUCAUAAUAGUGAUAAAAAUUGGAAAUAACCUAAGUAUGUAUGGAUAAUAUAAAAAUAAAUUAUGAAAUGUCAUACAGCAGUUUAAAGAAUGGGGCAGAUUCAUGUCUUGAUAAAAAAGAGAUUUACUUUGUACAACAAGGUCAAAAAUCAAUUCAUACAACGAUAUGUACAGAAUGAUUGAAUUUAUAUAUACUUCAAUGUCUAUGGUUGCAUGUCCACACAUAGGCAUGCAAAAGUAUUUUACAAGGAUAAAUGAACACAGCCUAACAGUGGCUACUUCUAGAUAAAGGGACGAUUUGCCAAAGAAGGGGCUCAUGGGAGAUUUUCAUUGUUUAAUCUGUACAGCACUGCAUUAUGUAAAUUUUCUACAGAUAUCUUUCUGAUACUGAAAGAAACAGAAAAGCAGUAAACUCAAAGGCUUCUUAAAGGAAAAACAGCAGACCUUCGUUAUCACUGUCUUAAUAAGAAAGAAAACCCUGAUCUGCCCUGUUAGCUUUAUCUUUGACCAAAUUCUAGGACUGCGUUUUCAAAAUAAAUUAAAAUGUAACCUGCCUUAUGAUUAAAUAAAGGAUUUAGCUUGUGGAGACGUCACAUUGUGAAUUUGGGUAAAAAUUAGUUUGCUUGUUUAUCUUACUAUUUUUUUCUUGUAACGCUCUCGCUGAUGAAAGUUGAUUUAAUUGUGUGGGCGUUUGUAGGUGAUUCUCCGGCAAAACAAAAUCCUUAUCACAUGAGAAGGAAUUUCUCAGUCCAUUCAAGCCCCCGAUUAGGUUCACUGUAUUUGUAGGUAUAAAGAUCACAUCUCCUAACUUAAGAGACUGUACUUUAUACCUUGGCCGACACCUACCUGCCGUUUUCAUGCCUUGUUUUGAGAUCAAUCCCCACCCAUGUUGAUGCUGGCAAAGCCCUUGGAGCUUUCCACACACAAACCUGCUCCACACAAAGAUUCCCCACCAGGCGAACGCUUGCGCUACUGAUGCGUAUUUUAACACUCCGCCUGUUACCUGCAGAAAGGGACGUGGGUCCCAGAUCUCAGUCGUACUUCCAGCUUUAUUUCUGAGACUAAUCAGUCACAAAGAGUUAGCGGCGUCAUUCCCCAAAGGGGGACUUCCCCACAUGAAAAACGUCCUCCUCUGAGGGACUACCUAUCCAUCCUGUGACACUGUGAUAGUUCAAGCCCCAGGAAGCAUUACGCAGAGGUGACAGCAUUUGGAGAGAAAGGGUGGAAUUUCCUUUCUUUACGUGGGUGAGAAGAGCACACAGGUGUGUGUGCGUGUGUGUGUGUGUGUGUGUGCACGUGUGUGUGGCCGUGCACAGCAUUCUUUAACUAGAAGAAUAUAUAAAUAUACACACAUUAAAUAUAUGUAUAUGCACAUUUUUUUCCUGCCUAAAGCAGCCAGGCCGGCCUCUUUUCAUUUGAUCUUAAUCCGUCUUCCCCGCCAGCGUGGCCCUGAGCACCCCUCUCUAUAAUAAAUAGCUGGCGGUGCAAGACAUUCAGGCAGCCCCCUUUGAUCACCUCAGAGCUGUCAGCCCGGGCUGCUGUUUUCCUCCCAGCUCUUGUUCCUGCCUAAAAGUGGAAGUAAUACCCCCUGAAAGAAAGACCCUAGGUGUCCUGCGAAGCAUCCAUCUAUUUCUUUUUUUUUUCCUGAGGCCCACCCUCCCAGCUUGGACAAAUCCCCCUGUCUCCGCCUCCUCCGCCCUGCACAGCCCAUGGCCCCCCGAGACGCCCUCCCCUCGCGGCCGUGACCUCUGCCCGCGCCGUCUGCGGCGCUGCCACCCGGCCAGACUGGGAGGCCGCGCCCCGCGCCGCCCCGCGCCGCCCCUCCCGCCCGGAGCCGCGUCCUGGGGGUCUGCGCUGCGUCCUACCGUUCGCUCUGCAGCAGGCAAGCCUCCUUGCUCUCCGCGCGCAGCCUUUUGCGGACACCCACCCACGCGCCUCGCCCCCACCCUCGCCGGGAGCUCGGGGUUGCCCUGCCGACUCCCCGCCUGCGCUCUCUCGGGUCCCCGGCUGCCGCCGAGGUCAGGGAGGCGGGGAGGGCGUCGGACUGGGCCUCAGCUGUGAGCCUUUGCAAAGGCGACUGCCUCCAGACGGGGCAUUGAGCACGUUUGCAAGCUGGAGUUCCGGUUUCUUCUUGUUUACAGCCGAGAUCAUAAGCAAUCUGUGCCCCCUCUUAUCUCCGUGUCAGGCAGUGAUGUAUAGUUUGUAAAUAUUAUUCGAAGGAAAUAAUUCGCAAAAGCAAACAAUUGGAAGCAAAGUGUACGGACCACGAGAUGACUGAAUUUAUGUGGUUAAACUCCUAUUGACAAACCCAAAGCGUGAAUCAACACGUCUUGUACCGUUGCAAUACCUCCCCUAAAAUGGCCAGCGCCUUGGGUAAAAGAUACCUGAGAUCAAGAAGGAUUUAUAUUCUACAGGGUCAAGCAAGAGCUUCGCUUGAAUAAAUUAAAUUUGAAAUUGUAAGCUGCAGAUAUCACUGUAUAUUCCUUCUGUCAGUAUUAGAUGGGGUUAUAACAGAGGGGUUAGGCUCCAGGACAAGACAGCAUUGAAUCUACUAAAUCUUCCUUUCAUUCUCCUGAGUUUACAUAUGAUAUUCUUGAUAUAGUAAAAAUACAAAAUUAAAAUGUUAGGCCAUUCUUUAAUACUCUGCUGAAAGUAAAAGCAGAUAUCUGUCAUAACCUAUCCUACUAAUAGAGUUUAUUUUAAAUUCAAUGUUAUUCUGCCUUACAGUUAAUUUUGCAUAACUACAGAGAAGAGAAUGCCUUUUUCUGUAUUUAGAAUUGACUUCCCUGUUGUUCCAGUAAAUCCUUUACAGAGGAAAAUGGAGUCAGUGUU